ensembl:lncRNA
UUUGACGAAACUCCUCAGGCCAAAUGUUUCUUGUCAAGGAGCUGAACACUUAAAGAAAUUUGUGCCAUAUGAAAUGGAUAACAUACUAGAACGCAGAGCAAAUGAAUACAAGCAAUAUCAACUCAGGAGGAAGACAAACGCAGAUAUUAUUAUUGCCCCAGCCAACUCUCCUCUCCAAUAUCCAAUCACAGGUUUCAGGGUAGCUCCUCUGAAGAAAAGUUUGAUACCAGGUCUUGUUCUUCAAACACAAGGGAGAGGUUUAACAAACAAGAGGGAGGUGUACAAGGUGCCAUUUGUGCUCUUUUUUUUAAAGCUUUUUUUUUAUUUAAGGUCAGUUGCAGGUAAAAUCCCUAGUACACUGUAAGAAAAAGUGUUAAGUUGUAAAUAAAAUAUUGUUUUACAAGAAAAUAUUAUUUCUCCUUUUCAAAUUCAAAAUGUCAUGUUUAAUUCCGUAUUACAUAAAUUAUGUAAUAAUUUAUUAAAUUAGCUAUAUCUGCAUGGAAAUUGUUUCUAAACCAAUUCUUUUUUUCAGUGUAUGAGGUAUUCAAUCACAAUACGUGCACUUUAAAAUACUGUUUUGACCAGAAAAAGUGUUCAAUGUAAAUUCUUAAAGGUGUGCUAUUAUGCCUUUUCUAUAAUAUUGCUGUUUGAGCAUAAAAAAAAGAUUGACAAAGUUACAAAGCUCAAAGUCUGAUUCAAAAGGAGAUAUUUUAUUUAAAGGGUUAGUUAACCCAAUAAUAAAAAUUAUGUAAUUAAUAACUCACCCUCAUGUCGUUCCAAACCCGUGAGACGUUUAUCUUCGGAUCACAGUUUAAGAUAUUUUAGAUUUAGUCCGAGAGCUCUCAGUCCCUCCAUUGAAGCUGUGUGAAUGGUAUACUGUCCAUGUCCAGAAAGGUAAGAAAAACAUCAUCAAAGUGGUCCAUGUGACAUCAGAGGGUCAGUUAGAAUUUUUCAAAGCAUCGAAAAUACAUUUUGAUCCCAAAAUAGCAAAAAAUACGACUUUAUUCAGCAUUGUCUUCUCUUCUGGUCUGUUGUAAGAGAGUUUAAAACAAAGCAGUUUGUGAUAUUCAGUUUGUGAAUAAAUCAUUCGAUGCAACCGGAUCUUCUUGAACCAGUUCACCAAAUCGAACCGAAUCAUUUGAAACAGUUCGCGUCUCCAAUACGUAUUAAUCCACAAAUGACUUAAGCUGUUAACUUUUUUUAAUGUGGCUGACUGAGGUGGGUAGUAACGAGUUACAUUUACUUCGUUACAUUUACUUGAGUAAAUUUUUGGGGUAACUAAUACUUUUUGGAGUACAUUUAAAGAUGGGUACUUUUACUCAAGUAAUUUUUUGGGGGGAAAAUCUGUACUUUUACAUCGUUACUGUGGGCGACGCUCCUCUCGUUACUUGAUCUUAUUGCAAUAAAUGUUAUAAAGGCUUUAGUUUGAUCCAAACGCGACGUCUACUUCUCUCUGGGCAAUGAGCGAUUCCCAUUGACAAAUGAUUCAUUCUUUUGAGUCAAUUCUGUUCCAAGGCUUGAUCAAACCAGUCUGCUAACCAGUGACUUGGUUCGUGAAUCAGUUUGAAUGAUUCGUUCAGCAUCCCGCCGCACGCGCUGAGCAUUUGAAAUGGUUCAUUUCACUCAGAGUUGUAACGUUUAAGAACAGAAAGAGCGUUGAAGACGUGGCUGGAUCUGCACUGAAUUGAAAGCAAAUCUGCAAAGGCUAUUAUUUGCUUGCGAUGAAGAUCUGUAUUGGAUGAACACCACGUGCGCUGUCUGGUUCAACAGGUAUACUUGGGUUACACUUGAUUACAGUACAGUUACCCCUAUGACAUUAGUUUGUUGUAUGUGUAACUUAUAACAGAAGGGGAACCAAGUUGAAUGCAGCUUCCAAAAGAUAAAAAAUAGCCGAUUAAUAUUUUCUAUAUUUGAUGCAAUCACACCGGCGUGAGAACUCAGCGAGUCAUAUCAUCAGCUGCUAAAUUCAGAUCUGCGUUCGCUGGCUGGCGGUGAGCCAGAGACAGACGCUUUUUUACAGCAGUGCACAAUGUAAUGUUGAUAAUGUAAAUGUUAUUUGCUCCCUUUCUGAACAAUGAAGAUUAGUAGUAGUUUUUAUAUCACAUUGACUUUCAAUGUUAAAUUCACAUUUAAUAUAAAGUAAGUCAUAUUAAAAAUAUGUUAUGACAUGACACCUAUAUUACUUAUGUAAUUUAUUAUAAAAACCUGUCUGUUU